rnacentral:lncRNA from 1 species
UGUAUCCCUAUGUGGAGGGUUGUACGUGCAUAUGCGUGUAUGUGCAUGUGUGCAUGUGGGUUUCUUUAGUGGACAGAGUUAUCGGUGAUGCUCUUUGUAAUAUCAAGAAGAAUUAAUAUCAAAAACAAUAUUACAAUAUUGAUUUAUUUAAAUUAUUUGUCAGUAACCAUUGAAGUUUCAACAUAGUCUAAAAAAUAGAUCCUGAAUGGUUAAAGGAUGUUUGUGCAAGAUGCUAUUGUAUAGAAAUAAUUACAGACAGGAAAAGGAAAAGACGUUAAGUGGGACAUGUUAAUACCCAGUGCAAAAACAUCUUUCUGAAUGUGAACGGCAUGAUAGGAACAGGUGGUAUCUUUUCUAUUCUCUGGAAGAAUCACUCUUGGAACAUAGUUUGAGCACCAUGAUUUUCAAGCAGUAUAUAUGAACAGUAGAGAGUUAUUUCCUAAGGAAUCUCUCAAAAUGGAGAAACUGAAUAAGGAUUAUUUUAUAAAGUAAGAACAUCAAUUAACAUUUGUUAUUUUCUCAACAGGAACAUGAGGCACAGAAAGCCAUGAUAACUCAUACCAUGAUCUGGACCUGCUCACAACAAAUUAAGUUUAACAGAGUAUCCUUCUGCAGAGGUAAUGUGCAAGAAUUGUUGCCUCUAGAAAGAAUAAAAGUACUUUAUCCAACAAUAGAAACCCUUGCAAAUGUGUGACUUAUCUUAAUUGAAACGUUUUAAGGAAUAUGCCAAGGGCGAGUUCUGUAUCUACCUGAUUAUUUCAACAGCAUAUGUUGUGAUGCCUAUAGCCUAUGCUUAGUAGAUAGAAGCUGUAAUUACGGAAAAGAAUUUAUGAAAAAUAAAAACUAGGUAAGCAUCA